rnacentral:lncRNA from 1 species
UCAUUCUCUACCUGGGUAGCAUCUUUGUUUUUAUUUUGGGAUCGACGAUGGAAGGUUGAAUCGUCGCAGACUUCAUUGUUAGCAGUAUGAUCAAUAUGGUGCUUAGAGGAGGAUUAAUAGCAGAUGGGGUGUCCUAAGGAGGUGGAGUGUGGCAAAUUUUCGUGAACAGGUGGCACGGAAUGCAAUAGGCUGCUGCCAGCUGCAUUCUGCUGUCAACGCACCCCUUACGGACCGCAAGGGGUUGUGCCUUACGAUCCGUAAGGGACUCUAGCGCGCAACAAAUAUUUAAACAUCCUUGUUGUAGUGUUCCGUAUUUUGCGAUGUAUUUUCGUUUACCUUGUAAUUCGUAUUUCAUUUCCACAUUUGUAACCCGAGACUUCGAUAAU